CUCUUUAUAAGUUUCACUCUCCAUCCUUUUGUCUCAUCUGAACAGUAAAGGACAUUUAUUCCACAUACUGACAAGAUGUUGGCCACCCUCUGCACUCUCAUCACUGCUCUAACAUGUGUGAGUGGUGUGACGGUGGUGACACAGAAACCUCCUGCUGUGACGGUGGAGAAAGGAGAGACAGUCACCAUGGACUGUAACUUAGGCAGUGUUAUUGGCGAUAGUUCUCGCUGGUAUAAACAGAGUCCAGGAGGAGUUCCUCAGUUUAUACUCUCAAAUUAUCAUGGCUGGAGCAACCCAAGAUAUGGCUCUGGGUUUUCAUCACCAAAAUUCACAUCUAAUCAUCAAUCUCAAUCAGAUUAUCGAUUGAUCAUCAACAAUGUGCAGGAGGGGGACUCUGCAGUUUAUUACUGUCACACAUGGGAUAGCUCUGCGUCUCAGUUCGUAUCACAGUGA